CUUGGGCAAGAUCUGAAGGUUCUUCAGAGGGAGAGGCACGAUCAGACCCAAUCAGGGCCUAAGUAGAAACACACACGGUUCCAUAAAGUGGCCUGGGAAAGAUGCCACGUUAAUAAAAGGGAAAAAUGCAGAGGAAUGUGUGAGGAGGGAGCCGUUAAGAAAAUGCAAGAGCCUAUAAACUGUGCUCUGCGAGUGCCCCCCACCCCCACCCGUCAUGGAUCCAACUUGUUUCUCAUUAGAACUCAAGAAAAGCCUUGAAGAAACCAGCCUCUUUGUGGAGCAGCGGAGGGUGGAGCUGGACACCUGGCUCAUGUCUCGCCUUUGCUGAUCUGCUGCAUGUCCCCUGCCCAGCCACCUCUCUUCUACAUGUCUCUGGGUCCGACUGCCCUCGAGUAAUGAAGUUCCUCCUGGGGCUGUCUUAUUAGUUCUGCAGCCUCGGCAGGCCAGGGUGCUUGGUGUAAGGAAGAGGGUAAGGAGUUAGGAGCAGCAGGGACCAUUGUUUCCACUCUGGUGCAUUCUGAAAUACUAUUUAUGUGAUGGGGGUCAUUUUCCCCUUCAUCUCCCCAAAUUGGCCUUGGGGACCAGCCGGCCCGUUGGCAAUUAGCCAAAGCCUUAUCACGUUUCCAGGCCCCAAGCAAACAGGAAAUGGGCUCCAACCGUAGUCAGAGGGUUAGCUCUCAGGUGGAACUUCCUGAUAGUCAGCAAUCAGCAGUGUAGGCACCAGGAACAGUUAAGAAGAGGGGGAGGAGCCCUGGACUAAAGGCUGGAGAAGCCCCUGGCAUACGCGGCAGGUGGGAGAGACACUGCAUGAUCAGGAAAACAAAACUGAGAGAGAAAACCUGCACAGGACAGCUGUUGUGGCACCCCGUCCAUCCCGAAAGCUCCAGCAUUCCAUUUCAAGGCUCUCCUGCUGGCCCCCCUCCCACCAUCAUUCCUCUGAGAGAAUGUGGCCUUGAGAUCAAGGGAUGGAGAGGGGCCAGCUACAGCCACCUGACACCAAGCCUCAUCAACCUCGCCUAUCUCUUUCCCCUCUCUGUCCUCACUGUGGGGUCAAGAGGUGGGUCACUCCUUCCCUUUGUCCGAGUUGGCCAAGACAGCUACCCUGAGAGAAAGAAGGAAGCUUCAAAUACAGACAUGGGGGCUCCUCCCCUAGGCCCACCUUGGGACAGGAGGCACAAUAGGGCAGACCACACCAAAACCCCAGAAAGAGCCUUGAAUUCAUCUCACUCCCAGCUCCCCUUCCACUUGUCCUUCUCAUAUGCUGAGCCCUACUGAGGACAAUCGCCUGGCCCGGAAGAUGGCGUCACCGCAGAUUUAUGGCACCCCCAGAAAUGCACAGAGGUGAGUCCCCCAGGCCAGUCCAGAUCUUCGCUCCUCUUCUCAAGACCCCAGACCCCCUUUCUCAAUGAUUUUCUGUCUUGCAGUGAGUCCAUCAAGAAGGAAUUUCUUCCAAUGUCCAACACCCUUUACAAAGCUCUGUGCCUCAACAGUGCUCCUCCUCAUUUAGGGCCAUUUCUGAAGGGACCCCCAGCUUCAGAGCGCUCUGCUCUUCCAACUGUGUUGCUCUUCAGGUUUUCUCUCUGCUGGUUCUGCUUCUUUUGCCGGCUCACUCAGCAAGUGUCGUGCCCCAGUAAUUCUCCUGCGUGAAAAUCUCAGAGUGUGUUUCUGGUAGAACCUGACCUGACCUGAGACAGUGAGUUUCGGGUCAAGGGGUCCUGUCCUCUGGGACCUUGUUCCCUUAUCCCCGCUUUUUCCCUGAAUCUUCAAACUCCAUCUCUCCUUAGCAUAUGCACCUAUGUAACAAAAAACAAAAUUAGACCUUCCUUCGACCUGAAGUCCCUGUCCAGCUAUUACCCUGUACACCUUCCUUUUGGUCAUGCUUCUCCAAAGCACACAUCAUGACCGGCCCCCCUACCCCGUCCCAUCUCACAUUCUCUCCUCAACCCUCUGAGUCCAGCUGACACUGGAAGGCCACCCUUCCAACUCACCACUGUAGGCACUUUUCAGUGCCUUGACUCAUCGGUGGCAUUUGACACCAUUGACUUUUCUCUUAAUCUUGACUUGCUUUGCUCCAUUGGUUUGUGUGCUACUGCUCUUUCCUGGGUCUCUCUGCUACUUUGGAGGAUUCUUUUUUGUCAUUUUUAUGCCCCAUGCCCCACCCAAUCUGUAAAUGGUGGAUGGGAUCACCCAUGGCUCCAUGGCUAUCUGUGGGUUCUCCUCUCACUCUACAUACUCUCCACCUGCAGCUAAGCUGCACCCUCAUGCCCAUGACCCCACACCUGCACUUCCAAGGUCUCUCUUCUCCACUCCACCUUAAAUUCUCAGAGAUGAAGCAGGACUCAGUAGCAGGUCUCUCUGCUACCCUUGAAUCUGCUCACCAUCUUGGAGAUGGGUGUCAAUAUUUCCCCAGGGCCUCCGCCUUAUCCCCAACAUCCACUAAGUCACCAGGUUCUGCCAAUUUGACCCCUGAAGUGCCCAUGCCCUCUGCUCUGGCCCCAUUUCUACUGCCUCACUUCCUGAUGGCUGUGGCUGUGGUCUCCUCCCAGGUUCCCUCCGGCCAGUCUUAACGAUGCUCAGUGAUACCCCACACAGGAGCGAGAGUGAUAUUUUCAUGAAACAAAUCUUGUCCACCAGUCCUUUCCUGAAUGUUCUUGGUGGCUUCUCAUCACUCUCCGGAUAGAGUCUGUAUCCUAAAGCAGGGCAUAGAAAAGAUCCUGUGUGAUCUGGUUUGUGUCCAUCAGCUGAGCCAGCACUCAUUUCUCCUUCCCACUCCUCCUCGUCAUGCUAAGGCAACACUGAAAUUCAUUGUUCUCUCCCAGAGCACAGCAGGUUUUCUCAUGGCUCUGCAUCUUUGCACUUGCUCCUUCCUCUGCCCCCGUUCCCAUUUCUUGGCUUGUCUGCCAGGAAGACGCCUGUGCAUACCUCAGGGUACAGCUCAUGCACUGUCUCCCCCUGGGAGCUCUCCUGGAUUUCUCCAGGCCUGGUUAGAGCGCCCUUUCCCUGGCUUCCGCCUACUGCACUUUGCACCUGCCUCCAGGGGGACAAUCAUCUUACUAUACUAUAAUCGCUAAUUUGAAGCAGGAGCCUCUGCUCACCUCUCUACGUCUACAUGUCUUGAGAGCAGUGUCCCUAUUUCCCAUCUCUCUGCCUCCUGUACAAAGCACGGGGCCUGGCGUGUAGCGGGCACUCGAUAAAAGUUUAAUGAGCAAUAAUGCUUAGCUUUUAUUGAGCACUUUCAGUGAGGCUGGACAAAAUGCUCAGCACUUCAAUAUCCAUUACGCCACGUAGUUCACACAGUUACAAUCACCUUCCGAGGUAGGAGUCACUACCCCCAUCUUAAAGUUGAGAAGACUGAGAUUCAGAGGACCGGGCCGCUGUCCCAGGCUGGAAGGUGUGCAGAGCAGGGGGUGCUGUUUGCGUCGUCCGUGCUGGUGAACGUUCCGUGGAGGCACCCCGCCUCUCACGCUGUCCCCCAGGCCCCGGUCCAGCCGUGCUCACACGGGCUCCUGCCCAUUAACUCGGGCCCUGAGGCCUGCACUUGGCCAAUAAGGGUCUGGCGUUCCCAGUUCAGCAGUCUCUUGUCCCGUGUCCAAAUCCUCUCUCGCUGCUGGAGUCCCACUGCCCUGCGCCGACUCUUCCAGAUCUGGUGCCCGGUUUCCUGGUCUCCGGGCCGAGUUCAGCUUCCCAGCCAGUGCACACUUGGAGCCAGCAACGCCCAACAGUGCUUGGUUUCUCAGACUUGGCCGGCUUGCUAGGUCUGACCUGGGCCUUCAGUGCCAGCGCGCACCCCAAUCCGUACCCUUAGCUCUGAUCUGAAUGCUCCCUGUGGGGACCCAGCUCUCUCGUAUGCCAGGCCCUAACCCGGCACCCUUCUUGCCGUGCAUGGAGUCUCCUGGUCCUGAGUCGAGAACUCGCUCUCCGCUCACGCUGACAGCAGCUCAGGAGGCAGACAGAGAAGGCAGAGGAGUGGGGGAAUGCAUAGAAAGUUCCAGGAGUGCUGAGGAGGGAUGUCCUGAGGCAGAUGGGCAGGUGGGGCUACCCCGGAGGUCCUCGUCCUCCACACCCGGGGUUGAAGGAAGAGCUCACACCCGAACGCUGGAGCCACACGCCCACUUUCCAGGCUUUGCUCAGUCCCUGUUUGUUUCUCAUUAUGGCAAAGCUACGAUGAAAGUACGUGUGCAGACAACAGAGCUAAUAUUUUGUGCUCCGUUUCUAUUGCUCUGUUGAUGAUCUUUUGUACCUGCCUGUAAUUAAUUGUAAUUAUAAUUAGCAGUAUGGAAUCAUUGAGGAGUAAGACCUGGAAGUUAGAAAUCUACUGGGUCCAGACUGACCUGAAGCUAUUUUAAAUGAUAGUGCCUCAGUGUUGUAGGACAUUUUUAACAGAAUGCACGUUCACACAUGUUACCUUGUCCCGGCUUGGUUAAUGUUUUUUUUUUUCUUUCAUACAAUAAAGGAGAGCAGAGCAGGGAUGUAAGAUCA
rnacentral:lncRNA from 12 species